CCUUUCCUAUAGAAGAGGAAAGGAAAACAAGCCAGGUUGUCCUUAGCCAGGUUCUUGUUGUCCAUCCCUUACAACGUUGUGAUCAUUUUGUUUCUCUUUUCUGAAUUCCCUCCAGUUUGUCAGUAUCUUUCUGGUGAUGAAGUUAUGAGAACCAGAUGUAGUAUUUGAGGUGUGGCUACCUGAAAGCUACAGAGAGAGAGGAAAACUAUUUCCCCCUUUAAUAUGUGAGGGACUUUUUGUGUGUGCGCAUGUAGCUCAGGGGUGUGGUGAGACGACCAGGCAGGGACGGCACAUCCCAGGCCAGGAGUUUACACAAAACCGGCUCCAGGAAGAGUCAAUUAAAGGACUAUUAAAGGUCACCACCCUCUUACUCCACGACAUCAAGUCUAGGAAAGGUGAUACUCUGCGGUCCUCAGCUGCAUAGCAUAUCAUGUUUACCACAGCUUCUCUGUUAUGAUUCUGCUGUACCAGCUCCAUAAUGAAUUGUGGCUCUGCCCUGAAUUAAGAUACAAAUUCCCCUUCUGAGUCAAUGGC